rnacentral:rRNA from 1 species
CACGUAGGUGGCAAGCGUUUGUCCGGAUUUAUUGGGCGUAAAGCGCGCGCAGGCGGUCCUUUAAGUCUGAUGUGAAAUCUUGCGGCUUAACCGCAAGCGGUCAUUGGAAACUGGGGGACUUGAGUACAGAAGAGGAAAGUGGAAUUCCACGUGUAGCGGUGAAAUGACGUAGAGAUGUGGAGGAACACCAGUGGCGAAGGCGACUUUCGUGGUCUGGUAACUGACGCUGAGGCGCGACAGCGUGGGGAUCGAAACAGG